rnacentral:rRNA from 1 species
UACAGAGGUCUCAAGCGUUGUUCGGAUUCAUUGGGCGUAAAGGGUGCGUAGGCGGCGCGGUAAGUCGGGUGUGAAAUCUCGGAGCUUAACUCCGAAACUGCAUUCGAUACUGCCGUGCUUGAGGACUGGAGAGGAGACCGGAAUUUACGGUGUAGCGGUGAAAUGCGUAGAUAUCGUAAGGAAGACCAGUGGCGAAGGCGGGUCUCUGGACAGUUCCUGACGCUGAGGCACGAAGGUCAGGGGAGCAAACGGG